rnacentral:rRNA from 1 species
AAAACAUAGCCCUAAGGAUUUAUUUAGGGUGAAACCUGCCCAGUGAUACUUUCAACGGCCGCGGUACUCUGACCGUGCUAAGGUAGCAUAAUCAAUUGACUUUUAAAUGAAGUCUGGAAUGAAUGGGAUAACGGAAUUUAGCUGUCUCAACUUUUUUAACUGGAAUUUACUAACUAAGUGAAAAGGCUUAGGAGAGAUAAAAGACGAGAAGACCCUAAGAGUUUAGACAUUUUGUUGGGGCGACAGAGGAUCAGAACAUCCUUCUUAAUGUGACGGCUUUUUCAUGAGAAGAUAAACUACCUUAGGGAUAACAGCAUAAUUCUUUUUGAGUUUGUGACCUCGAUGUUGGACUAGGAAGCUUUUAGGCUAGCUGCCUAAACUGGGGAUUCUGUUCGAAUUUUUACUCCUACGUGAUCU